UACGGAGGGUGCAAGCGUUAUCCGGAUUCACUGGGUUUAAAGGGUGCGUAGGUGGGCAGUUAAGUCAGUGGUGAAAUCUCCGGGCUUAACCCGGAAACUGCCAUUGAUACUAUCUGACUUGAAUACCGUGGAGGUGAGCGGAAUAUGUCAUGUAGCGGUGAAAUGCUUAGAUAUGACAUAGAACACCAAUUGCGAAGGCAGCUCACUACGCGAAUAUUGACACUGAGGCACGAAAGCGUGGGGAUCAAACAGG
rnacentral:rRNA from 1 species